rnacentral:lncRNA from 1 species
UCAGUUGAUGGGUCCUUUGCCGGAGACUUUCGGAGGUAUGGUCGGGCUUGAGCAGCUCAAUGUGGCUCAUAACAUGCUCUCUGGGAGUAUUCCAUCGAGCAUAUGCAGGUUGUCCAAUUUGGAGAACUUCACCUUUUCUUAUAACUUCUUCACUGGAGAGCCGCCGGUGUGCUUGAACCUCAAGGACUUCGAUGACAGGACGAAUUGCUUGCCUGCUAGGCCCUUACAAAGAUCUGCGGCGCAAUGCAGGGCAUUUUUAUCUAAGCCUGUGGAUUGUAAUGCGUUUAGAUGUAAGCCUUUUGUUCCCUCUUUUCCUGCUCCUCCCCCGCCUUCUCCACCACCACCGGUUGUUAUUCCCCUUUCACCACCUCCUCCUGUGCUUUCACCUCCUCCUCCACCACCACCACCAGUUUACUCACCUCCUCCCCCACCACCAGUCUACUCACCACCUCCNNNNNNNNNNNNNNNNNNNNNNNUGUUUAUAAAUCGCCACCUCCGCCUCCACCUGUAACUUAUGCAUCUCCACCACCGCCAGUUCACCACCAUUCUCCACCACCACCCUCACCACCAAUUUACCAUUCUCCACCUCCACCCUCGCCGCCACCUCCAAUUCCAUGUGAAAAUCCACCUCCACCGCCACCUCCAGCCGUGCUCUAUGGAAGUCCACCUCCUCCAGCUCCAGUGUACGAGGGGCCAUUGCCACCGAUCACCGGUGUCUCGUACGCUUCACCUCCUCCACCACCCUACUAUUGAUUCUUUUGAGAAUUUACCUCCUCUAACCUUUCAUCAAACCGAGAAAAAAAAAAGGAUUUUUACAAAUUUGGCAUGAAGGCUUCUUCUCUAUGGGGAAUUCUCAUUUCUCGCAGAGGAAGGAUCCUAAGGAGAAGAUUUGAUAAAGGGUCUGCACAUUUUUUAUGAUUCAUCCUCCCCAAGAAAUGGUCUAUGGGGACGAGCAUUAUCGCAUUAUUGUUUAAGAAAUGCAGAGAACAAGAUAGAGAGGUAAGAGGAGAUAGUGUCUCCAUAUUUAUUCGGAUUGCUAUGAGAUAUUUGAGUAUCAAAAAUAAAUAAAAAAAAAAUUGGCAGAGAAAGAGUAGGUUUGCAGAGAAAGUUGUAUGUAUAGUCCAUAAUCAGAGCUAUGGCUGCUGCUGGUUUCGGGGUUUUAUUUUCUUUUUAAUAUACUUUUGUUCUUUUGCUUCUUUAUUUCUUUCUAAUUUUAUAGUAUAAUCUUGAACAUUUCAUUUGUAUUGAUUUGCAGAAUUCAGUCUCCUCCUCCUCAUUUUUUUUUCUGUUCUGUUAGACUUGAGAACGGACAAUGAUGCAAUUGUGUUUUGGCUAAUUUGUUUUAUGAUGUUCUUGAUUUAAAUCUUAUUAAUAAUUACCCCGGAAAGGAAAGAAUCAUACAAUGUUCUGUGUUGAAUCUUGUUUAUGUCGGAAUCCAUACGAUUCAAUAUGCUUGCUUAUCUGCCAUUUCUUUAGAUUCAGUAUGGAAAUUUGUCUGGGUGGGUUCUCUGAAUUGGGAAUCUAUAUGCUUUAUGAUGAUCACAUCCACACUCAUCUUCUCAUUUCAGUUUCUCAAAUUUUGCCAUUGAACAUCUAGUUUCCAGCUUCUGCAGGGAAUUGGGUAGAAAAAGAAAAUGAAAAAUUUCUGGUUAUCCAUAGAGAAAAUUUUCGAUCUUGGCAAGCAAGAUUGUAAUAAAGAUCUUAUUGAUGGAGCCCAGAAGGGCCCCUUGACUGGUGGGUGAUAGAUUCUUUUCUUCUGAUUAGAUUAGCGUGGGUUUGAAAAUUUGAAUUGAAACCCUGUGAGCUUUAAUGGCAGACACGAGUCAUGAAAAGCUUAAAAAGGUGAAGUUAAAUUGGAGAAAGAGAUCUCUUUAAGAUUGUUCCUUCUCCUGGAACUUUCUUUAAUUAUAUCAAUGGCUAGUGCUAUCGACUAUCGCUUUUGUUAGUUAUAUUAAUUUUUCCUUAGCUUUUGAAUUUUAUUUCUUGUUAAAAAGCUGCAACACCCUUUUUUUUUAAAAAAAAACCCUUUCUUGCUUUCCCACUUCUGAUCAUCUCAUCCGUAAGCUUCUAUUAGCAUUUUCCUUCUAAAAUAGUUUUCCCCACUUUCUCACCUCCCAAACAUUCUUAUUUACUUAGCUGCCAAGUUCAAUAGCAACGUUAUUUUCACAAGACCUUAUCACAAACCAAACGUUCAAUAACUUAGCAUAUUCCUCUAUUAUUAUAAAAUUUUCAUAUAAUAAUCCUUUUAGUAUAAGUUUGCACUGGAAAUUCCUAGUCCCA